rnacentral:rRNA from 1 species
UGGGGAAUUGUUCGCAAUGGGCGCAAGCCUGACGACGCAACGCCGCGUGGAGGAUGAAGGUCUUCGGAUUGUAAACUCCUGUUGCUCGGGACGAAUAGCUUCAACCUAAUACGUUGAAGUCUGACGGUACCGAGUGAGGAAGCCCCGGCUAACUCUGUGCCAGCAGCCGCGGUAAUACAGAGGGGGCAAGCGUUGUUCGGAAUUACUGGGCGUAAAGGGCGCGUAGGCGGCCUGCUAAGUCGAACGUGAAAUCCCCGGGCUCAACCCGGGAACUGCGUCCGAUACUGGUGGGCUUGAAUCCGGGAGAGGGAUGUGGAAUUCCAGGUGUAGCGGUGAAAUGCGUAGAUAUCUGGAGGAACACCGGUGGCGAAGGCGGCAUCCUGGACCGGUAUUGACGCUG